GGAAUAUUGGGCAAUGGGGGAAACCCUGACCCAGCAACGCCGCGUGAGGGAAGAAGGUUUUCGGAUCGUAAACCUCUGUCCUUGGUGAAGAGGAAGAGACGGUAGCCAAGGAGGAAGCCCCGGCUAACUACGUGCCAGCAGCCGCGGUAAUACGUAGGGGGCGAGCGUUGUCCGGAAUGAUUGGGCGUAAAGGGCGCGUAGGCGGCCUUUUAAGUCUGAAGUGAAAGUCCUGGUUUUAAGUUGGGAAUUGCUUUGGAUACUGGAAGGCUUGAGUGCAGGAGAGGUAAGUGGAAUUCCCAGUGUAGCGGUGAAAUGCGUAGAGAUUGGGAGGAACACCAGUGGCGAAGGCGACUUACUGGACUGUAACUGACGCUGAGGCGCGAAAGUGUGGGGAGCAAACA
rnacentral:rRNA from 1 species